UUGGUCACUUGUUGGCCCUUUCCUUCUCUGAGGAGCUGGUGUAGCUGUUCUCAAUACCAUGAACUGAAGUGUGGAAGUGGCUAUACGUCAGCAGACCUGGGAUACAGAGGUGCAGUAAAUCUAAAUUCCUCCAUUGCACUGAGGGAGGCUUGACACAGAAAAGCUGGAUGGAAAAGAUCUUCGAUCUCCCCAACACUGACCUGGUCUCUGAGGUGAACAGGCGUAGAGCCGCCAUGGCCACAAGAGAUGAAACAAUCACCAAGAAAAGUGGUGAAGGUUGGGAAACGCCCUCCAUCGGGGGUGUGGAACAAGAGCCUACCAGAAAAACCCACCUCAGGGUGCCUCCUGCUCCCCCUCCUUCCCCAGCUGAUGCUACAG